rnacentral:ncRNA from 2 species
AAAUGUAAAAAAUCAUUUAGGAUGAAUAAUUUCAUUGAGGGAAUCUGGUUAGAAUCCAGAACGAUCCGGUCACUGUAAUUAGUUAAGUCUCCUUAUUAUGUCACUGGGUGUUAUGCUUGGGAAGGCUAGGAGAAUAUCAGCUAUAAGUCAGGAAACCUACUAGAAUGAUGUGCUAAAA